AGAGUUUGAUCCUGGCUCAGGAUGAACGCUAGCGACAGGCUUAACACAUGCAAGUCGAGGGGCAGCGGGGGUAGCAAUACCCGCCGGCGACCGGCGCACGGGUGAGUAACGCGUAUGCAACUUGCCUAUCAGAGGGGGAUAACCCGGCGAAAGUCGGACUAAUACCGCAUGAAGCAGGGGCCCCGCAUGGGGAUAUUUGCUAAAGAUUCAUCGCUGAUAGAUAGGCAUGCGUUCCAUUAGGCAGUUGGCGGGGUAACGGCCCACCAAACCGACGAUGGAUAGGGGUUCUGAGAGGAAGGUCCCCCACAUUGGUACUGAGACACGGACCAAACUCCUACGGGAGGCAGCAGUGAGGAAUAUUGGUCAAUGGGCGCGAGCCUGAACCAGCCAAGUCGCGUGAGGGAUGAAGGUUCUAUGGAUCGUAAACCUCUUUUAUAAGGGAAUAAAGUGCGGGACGUGUCCUGUUUUGUAUGUACCUUAUGAAUAAGGAUCGGCUAACUCCGUGCCAGCAGCCGCGGUAAUACGGAGGAUCCGAGCGUUAUCCGGAUUUAUUGGGUUUAAAGGGUGCGUAGGCGGCCUUUUAAGUCAGCGGUGAAAGUCUGUGGCUCAACCAUAGAAUUGCCGUUGAAACUGGGGGGCUUGAGUAUGUUUGAGGCAGGCGGAAUGCGUGGUGUAGCGGUGAAAUGCUUAGAUAUCACGCAGAACCCCGAUUGCGAAGGCAGCCUGCCAAGCCAUGACUGACGCUGAUGCACGAAAGCGUGGGGAUCAAACAGGAUUAGAUACCCUGGUAGUCCACGCAGUAAACGAUGAUCACUAGCUGUUUGCGAUACAGUGUAAGCGGCACAGCGAAAGCGUUAAGUGAUCCACCUGGGGAGUACGCCGGCAACGGUGAAACUCAAAGGAAUUGACGGGGGCCCGCACAAGCGGAGGAACAUGUG
rnacentral:rRNA from 1 species